GACGAACGCUGGCGGCGUGCUUAACACAUGCAAGUCGAACGGUAAGGCCCCAGCUUGCUGGGGUACACGAGUGGCGAACGGGUGAGUAACACGUGGGUGACCUGCCCCGCACUUCGGGAUAAGCCUGGGAAACUGGGUCUAAUACCGGAUAGGACCGCACCGUGAGGGUGUGGUGGAAAGUUUUUCGGUGUGGGAUGGGCCCGCGGCCUAUCAGCUUGUUGGUGGGGUAAUGGCCUACCAAGGCGGCGACGGGUAGCCGGCCUGAGAGGGUGGACGGCCACAUUGGGACUGAGACACGGCCCAGACUCCUACGGGAGGCAGCAGUGGGGAAUAUUGCACAAUGGGCGGAAGCCUGUUGCAGCGACGCCGCGUGGGGGAUGACGGCCUUCGGGUUGUAAACUCCUUUCACCAUCGACGAAGGUUUUCUGACGGUAGAUGGAGAAGAAGCACCGGCUAACUAUGUG
rnacentral:rRNA from 1 species